GUAAUGGAGGAAAAACUGUCUGACCCAAGCUUCAUGUCUGACCUGCAGUGGCAGACAUUGGAGGGAGCACUGUGGAUGAGGCCACAAGACGGAUGAUGGUCUUCAUCAUGGACCACGACCUGUCAAGGCAGUAUAACUUUGUGGGCCGGAAUGGAAAGCGGGAAUUCAGGACUUUAAAGCUGUUUGAAGUCAUAUUUGGAGCUUUAAAGAAGAACAGCCUAACCAGCCAGAUCACCAGGAUGUGGAUAGGUCAGUGUCAAAAUGGCUGAUUGGAUCAAGGGACAGGGGAGGCAAUAGACAGGCCAGACAGGUCCGUCCUUCUCCCUCCUUCUCCCACUAGAUCCACUUCUCGCUCAGCCGAAAAAAAAUUUUUCUGUUCCAUUUUUUGUCUUGUAUAAAACUUUCAUAAUCUGUAUCAUAUUGUGUGUAUUAUGCAUCUGUAAAAUACAUAUUAUGCUUUUGAAAUAAUAAAAAACCUUGAACAAUGA